UUUCCGCCACGGGCUGAAAUCGAAGGAAGGAAGGAGGCAGAGCGUUUCCUUUAUAUAGAUAGGCCGGAAAGAGGGUCCGGCUUGCGGCUUUCUGCGCAUGCGUGAGAAGGAACGCUGACGUAAACUAGAACUCACAAACCCAUUCCCCGCCUUUCUUUCUUUGGGGACUGUCACAAAUAGCCCUUGCCGCCGCCGCGGCGAAUGGAGCGCUGAGAUUCUGCGCAUGCUCAUGGUCAUUAAGUGAAUUACCAUGGACAUUAAGCAAAUCACACAGUAGUUAACUGAAUCACGCGGUUCCCCAUUGAUAUUGCUUGCUGGAAGCCGGCUGGUAAGGUCACAAAUGGCGAUUACGUGACCCCGGGGUGCUACACCUGGUUGCCGAGUGCCCAGAUCAUGAUCAUGUGACCACGGGGUUGCUGCGAUGGUUGUAAAGAUGGUCUUCAAGUCAAGCUGAUGACUGCAUCCAUGUAGCUUUCUUGGCAAUAUUGAGGAACUGCCUUCUUCCAGAAUGUUUUUUUUUUAAUUUUCUAGUCUAGCUUACAGCCCUGGGAUUUCCUGAUGGCCUCCCAUCCAAAUAUUAAUCCAACCUGACUCUGCUUAGUUUCCAGACCCAGACAAAGGCAGCCAGGUGCUAGCUCCUAUUGGGAAAUUUACUUCCUGGUUGUACAGGUAGUCCUCACUUAACGACCAUUCAUUUAGUGACUGUUCAAAGUUACAACAGUGCUGAAAA